CCUCACCCUCCACGUAUUGUUUCGUAUUACCCUUGUCAUUAGUGUUUAAAUGCUUUUCUCUAAAGAAUUCCUCUUCUUUGCUAUUCUUUGGAAGAACGGUAGCAAGGCCAUUCAAGGUCACUGAUGUAUUCGAGAACUGAGCCUGAUUCAUUUUAUAAAGUAAGGUGUACAAUGAGGAGGCAUCAGGAUCUGUUUCUUGACGAUUAGUGGUCCAGUCAUGAACUAGUAAUGAUACUCGAGGAUUCUAGUCAUCAUGUUAGAAAAAAGAAAAUACCAAUCAGGAUCAAGGAUAAGUUAAACUUUUAAAUAUGAUACAUACCGAACUGAUGUUAAAAUAUUUUUUACUGUUUUCUCCUGUUGACAAAAUAAUGCAAUCCUCCACUUCGUAAGGGGCAGCGCUUCCUGCAGGUAAAUAGGUAAAUGUCAUCAAAGAAGAGUGAGGCUGAUCAUGAAAGCAAGUAGCUAGUUGAAUAUAUUUGGAUGAGGACAAGCAUCUCUUGAUUUGGCUGGGGAACUCAUGAGAUGAAUCGACUUUUGAGGCCAUAUUUACUUUCAGGUUAUUGUGGUGCGACAAAGAUUAUAAUUUGCAGAAUAAAUACUGGUGAAUGGAAACUAUUGAUCCAGACAAAACUGUACGAUAAUUUCUAUACUUGAUUAUCCUUUCCUAAAUUUUGGUGGUACUCCUCUCUGAGUAAGCAGGUUUGAUACUAGGUUAAUAGCAGAAAUGCUGACUCACAACUCAACGUAAUAUAGAGGUAUGUACUAAACAGCCAACUUACGAAUUUUGCAGGGGAACUAAAGAUUAAUAAUCUUCAAAGGAAUACUGCUCAUAAAAUAAACGCGCUCAUUUCUGUGUAUCUUGGAAAAUUCAUACGCAUUAUGAUUGUUGGAUUUACUUACUCAAAACUAAUUUCCUUAACUUAUAAACACUAAUUUUAGUAUACGGA